AUUGAACGCUGGCGGCAUGCCUUACACAUGCAAGUCGAACGGCAGCGGGGGAGAAGCUUGCUUUUCCUGCCGGCGAGUGGCGAACGGGUGAGUAAUACAUCGGAACGUGCCCUGUAGUGGGGGAUAACUAGUCGAAAGAUUAGCUAAUACCGCAUACGACCUGAGGGUGAAAGUGGGGGACCGCAAGGCCUCAUGCUAUAGGAGCGGCCGAUGUCUGAUUAGCUAGUUGGUGGGGUAAAGGCCUACCAAGGCGACGAUCAGUAGCUGGUCUGAGAGGACGAUCAGCCACACUGGGACUGAGACACGGCCCAGACUCCUACGGGAGGCAGCAGUGGGGAAUUUUGGACAAUGGGCGAAAGCCUGACCCAGCAAUGCCGCGUGUGUGAAGAAGGCCUUCGGGUUGUAAAGCACUUUUGUCCGGAAAGAAAUGGCUCUGGUUAAUACCUGGGGUCGAUGACGGUACCGGAAGAAUAAGGACCGGCUAACUACGUGCCAGCCGCCGCUGUAAUAC
rnacentral:rRNA from 1 species